GGUUUGCCGCUGAUCAUCCUAUUCCUUUCUUUGUGUUUCGCUUUCCUUGAAGAGACGUUAAGAGUGAAUCGCCUCGCUGCUUUGUUCUGUUGUUUGGAAUAUAAAGAAUAUAAAAUUUUACAAGAACUCAAUUUAAUUAUUUUUUUAUUAAUUUAUAUUUAGAAUGAAAUAAUUUAUUUUUUUUUAAUUUUAAAAAAUUUUCAUUUU
rnacentral:misc_RNA from 1 species